rnacentral:rRNA from 1 species
UACGGAGGGUGCGAGCGUUGUCCGGAAUCACUGGGCGUAAAGGGCGCGUAGGCGGCCUGAUAAGUAGGGGGUGAAAUCCUGCGGCUUAACCGCAGGGCUGCCUUCUAAACUGUCAGGCUGGAGCACAGUAGAGGCAGGUGGAAUUCCCGGUGUAGCGGUGGAAUGCGUAGAGAUCGGGAAGAACACCGGUGGCGAAGGCGGCCUGCUGGGCAGUAGCUGACGCUGAGGCGCGACAGCGUGGGGAGCAAACAGG